AUUGCCUACGGGGGGCAGCAGUGAGGAAUAUUGGUCAAUGGGAGAGAUCCUGAACCAGCCAAGCCGCGUGAGGGAAGACGGCCCUAUGGGUUGUAAACCUCUUUUGUCGGAGAACAAAACCCGGGACGAGUCCCGGACUGCGUGUAUCCGAAGAAAAAGCAUCGGCUAACUCCGUGCCAGCAGCCGCGGUAAUACGGAGGAUGCGAGCGUUAAUCGGAAUUACUGGGUGUAAAGGGUGCGCAGGCGGGUGAG
rnacentral:rRNA from 1 species